rnacentral:rRNA from 1 species
UACGUAGGGUGCAAGCGUUAUCCGGAAUUAUUGGGCGUAAAGAGCUCGUAGGCGGUUUGUCGCGUCUGCUGUGAAAACCCGGGGCUCAACCCCGGGCCUGCAUUCGAUACGGGCAGACUAGAGUUCGGUAGGGGAGUCUGGAAUUCCUGGUGUAGCGGUGAAAUGCGCAGAUAUCAGGAGGAACACCGGUGGCGAAGGCGGGACUCUGGGCCGAUACUGACGCUGAGGAGCGAAAGCGUGGGGAGCAAACAGG